CCUGCUCUUACGUUUUCUUUAAAACAAAAAGAUACCUCUCAUUAAGAGUAAAACAAACAAGUAUAACAAGUCAAUAUACCUUAUGCACAAUGCUAUAACAAACAAACAUAAGUGACAGACCUAGUGCAAACUGUUAUGACGCUAUUAAACUAAAUACAAUCUAUAGAGGACUAAAACUCACAAAGAAUGAGUGGAUCAGGUGCCACUUAACAC